UACGUAGGGGGCCAGCGUUGUCCGAAGUUACUGGGCGUAAAGAGCGCGUAGGCGGGCCCUUAAGUGGGGGGUGAAAGGUUGGGGCUCAACCCCAACACUGCCUUUCAUACUGGGGGCCUUGAGUGCGGGAGAGGCGAGUGGAAUGGUCGGUGUAGCGGUGAAAUGCGUAGAUAUCGAUCGGAACACCCAUGGCGAAGGCAGCUCGCUGGCCUGCAACUGACGCUGAGGCGCGAAAGCAUGGGGAGCAAAAGGG
rnacentral:rRNA from 1 species